rnacentral:rRNA from 1 species
UACGUAGGGUGCGAGCGUUAAUCGGAAUUACUGGGCGUAAAGCGUGCGCAGGCGGUGAGCUGUGUCCGAUGUGAAAGCCCCGGGCUUAACCUGGGAAUGGCAUUGGAAACUGGCUCGCUGGAGUGUGGCAGAGGGGGGUGGAAUUCCGCGUGUAGCAGUGAAAUGCGUAGAGAUGCGGAGGGACACCGAUGGCGAAGGCAGCCCCCUGGGCUAACACUGACGCUCAGGCACGAAAGUGUGGGGAGCAAACAGG